UAUCCGGAUAAGUACACCUCCGAUCGGUGGCCAAACCGAUCCGGUGUCAUGAAUACCCCCAAGUGCCGUGACUAAGUCAUGCCGGUAUGCUCAAACAAAACAAACCCGGCUAAAGCCGGUGCCUAGGCCGAAGCCAACAACGAGGGCGUACAAUGCCAAACUGAAAUAGAACUUAGGGCGUACAACGCCGAACCUCGAUCAACCAGAUAGAAACACACGACAAGAGAGUCGAUGUGUUGCCUGGACCCAAGGUCCACAGAGAUACUGAAAUACGAAUGCAGCCUGCUCUACAUGUCUAUCCACAACUAUACAAUGCAAUCAAGGGGUGCGAUAACCAAACGAUAACAAGCAAUGACAUGUAGAGUCUAAAUACAGGAAUAGAAAAACAGGAGAAGGAAGUGAAACGCUCUCACCGACUACCAGCUCGAAGCACCCACCUGUCACUGUCGCGUCGGAACACUGGGUACGCACAGAGUCUACCGGACCUAAGAAGAUCCACCAAGUCAGUAUCCAAACCACUAACCCAAAGCACGAGACUCACAAACCCCCACACAAGAUCCCCGUAAUCGAAAACCGAUUACCGUAACUCACCGGAAGUCCCGAAAACCACACCGGGACGUUGUCGGGAUCCACUAAGUGUCCCGAACUCACCGACUCGUGUCGCGAGUCACCCGCUGCCCCAAAGCACUCCAAUUUGGAUGCCUUGGCAGCGAACACAAGGUCACACAACAAUACGAUCAUCGCCGGAUAAUCGUACGAAUCCGGGUUCCCGGAAGUGUCUAUUUCGACACCGGAACCCUCCGUCGCUCACCUAUCAUCAUCGAACCCACAAAAUGACGAUGGUGACCAGCCAACAAGGCUCAGCGACAAAACACGAAGCAACCAAACACCGUCGGAAA
rnacentral:lncRNA from 1 species